rnacentral:tRNA from 1 species
CCAGUAGUAGCCGAGUUGGUCAGGCGGGCACCUGCAAAGUGUCUGUGACGUGGGUUCGAAUCCCACCUACUGGU